rnacentral:rRNA from 1 species
UACAGAGGGUGCGAGCGUUGUUCGGAAUUAUUGGGCGUAAAGCGCUUGUAGGCGGCACGUCAAGUCGCGUGUGAAAUCCCCAGGCUUAACCUGGGAAGUGCGCGCGAAACUGACGAGCUUGAGUGCCGGAGAGGGUCGCGGAAUUCCCGGUGUAGAGGUGAAAUGCGUAGAUAUUGGGAAGAACACCGGUGGCGAAGGCGGCGACCUGGUCCGAUACUGACGCUGAGGCGCGAAAGCGUGGGGAGCAAACAGG